rnacentral:lncRNA from 1 species
CAAUUAAUCAAAAGUUUCUAAAAUAUCGAACAUUUUGUAUGUUUUCCCCAUUUACAGGUUCCAUUUCUUAUGGCACCCUCAACGGAGUUGGGGUGACGUAUUGUUAUUCUACGUUUCUUUUUUUUUCUUAUUAUUUUUCUUGCACAAAAUUUUGUCCGCGCGAGAUCUUGGAAUCCAAUGGACCAAUGUUGAUGGAACUCUACUAUAACGAAGACACCCAUGUGAAGUUGUGCACCUUGCUAUGGAAUGGGAAAAAAUGGCCG